rnacentral:rRNA from 1 species
AUUGAACGCUGGCGGCAGGCCUAACACAUGCAGUCGAACGGUAACAGGAGCAGCUUGCUGCUUUGCUGACGAGUGGCGGACGGGUGAGUAAUGUCUGGGAAACUGCCUGAUGGAGGGGGAUAACUACUGGAAACGGUAGCUAAUACCGCAUAACGUCGCAAGACCAAAGAGGGGGACCUUCGGGCCUCUUGCCAUCGGAUGUGCCCAGAUGGGAUUAGCUAGUAGGUGGGGUAACGGCUCACCUAGGCGACGAUCCCUAGCUGGUCUGAGAGGAUGACCAGCCACACUGGAACUGAGACACGGUCCAGACUCCUACGGGAGGCAGCAGUGGGGAAUAUUGCACAAUGGGCGCAAGCCUGAUGCAGCCAUGCCGCGUGUAUGAAGAAGGCCUUUCGGGUUGUAAAGUACUUUCAGCGGGGAGGAAGGCGAUAAGGUUAAUAACCUUGUCGAUUGAUGUUACCCGCAGAAGAAGCACCGCUAC